UUAAUGCAAAUUUACAUGUGAAAUGGUAACGCAGGUUUCCUAAGGUGAGGUCAAGUAGGACAGAAAUCUCCCGCUGAGCAGAAGGCCUAAAGCUUGCUUGAUCUUGAUUUUCAGUAUGAGUACAGACCAGGAAAGCGGGGCCUUACGAUUAUUAUGGCUUUUUGGGUUCCAAACAGGU
rnacentral:ncRNA from 1 species